ACCAUGAAAGCCCAGACCCAGCUUCUCUGCCUUCUAUUACUCUGGGUUCCAGAUGCCAAUGGAGAAAUCGUGAUGACACAAACUCCAGCGUCUCUAGCUUCAUCUCCAGGCGAAAGAGUCAGUCUCACCUGCCGGGCCAGUCAAAGUGUUAGCAACUAUUUAACCUGGUAUCAGCAGAAACCCGGUCAGGCUCCCAAGCUCCUCAUCUAUGGUGCUUCUACCAGAGCCACUGGUAUUCCAGCCCGGUUCAGUGGCAGUGGAUCUGGGACAGACUUUACUCUCACCAUUAGCAGUCUAGAGCCUGACGAUUUUGGAGUUUAUUACUGUCAACAGUAUAGCAAUUGGCCACCACAGUGA